ACGAUGAAGAGUUUGAUCCUGGCUCAGGAUGAACGCUAGCGGCAGGCUUAACACAUGCAAGUCGAGGGGUAGAAGUCUUC
rnacentral:rRNA from 1 species